rnacentral:sRNA from 11 species
AUGUACCGCGCGUACAUUGCGGUUCCGAGCGCGCGGUUCGCUCCCGCCUGGCGACUGCCCGCGACGUUGUGUGAGCC